GAGUCCGCAAAGCGUCUGAGAAGCAGCCCCGGCUCUGACCCGCCACCCCGCGGAAGCAGACCCUGGCCGGUGCACGGCCGUGGCGCCAGCGCGGAGCACCAGCGACCCCCUAGGAACGACGUUGCAGAUGAUGCUCUACCAAGAGUUGGAAGGACUCCUCAGGGAAUCCCACGAGGCUCUGCUUUUCCUAUGCCUCCUUUCCCUCGUUUACAAAAUAGGGAUAAGAAGGUUGGCUACUGCUUGGACAGCCCUCGCGAUGGAAGAGUAGCACUUCAUUUGAGGGUUAACAAAGGGCAACGCUGAAAUCUCCACUUCCACUAUUGAAUGGAACUCUGUGUCGUAAUAUCUGUUAGAGGCGUGCAAACUCGGCCACAAGGUCAUGGUCAUACGUUAUUGCUGGCCAAAAGCCGCAACCCUACCUGAGGCUUUGAGAAAUAUGAACACCAAUGACUUGUUUUCCUGACUCCCGAAAUACCAAGAAAAAGCAACUUCCCCAAAUGGACAGAAACAGAAAGUACCCUUGGUUGAACACAGAGGCCUGGUUCCAGCCAUCGUUAGAAGUGGGAAGGAACUCAGACCCCCUCUCCUACCUCAUCCCCCACCCCUCCCCAACACGUCACCCUUUCACAGAGAAGGAACCAGAGACACCAAGGACUGAGAGAGGACUUGAUAAGGAUUCUAGUGUCCUGUCUCCCCUGUCCGCACCUUUUCCACCACAAAAAUAUGGACAUUGGAGGAAGAGGAGAAGACUGAAGGUACACAUCGUGCAAAGGAAGAAAAUGGCAGAACUGUUCUGGAACCAGGAAUUCAGGAGCAAGAAUGACACAGUGUGUGCCAGAUGGAAAUGUUGGAUUAGGAGAGCACUUGGAAAGGUAAAUAAUCUGUCAGAGAAAUUAUGGGAUGCCUGGCUUCUGAAAAUGGAGGAAAACUGCAAAAGAGAGGCUCAUUGGUGCUUACUCCCAGGGCGCUGAGCAUCCCAGGAAGCUAACUUUCUCCCAUCCUACAUCCCCUCAGAAGUAGGCAUUCUCCUCUCCACCUGCAGCUGUGACCCAGAUAUGGAGCCGCAUGUUCUGCCACCCCGUCAACACUGAGUUCUGUCAGAUCUGAUCAGCACCUGACACCUAUCCAUCCUCCAUUUCCCACCUGCCCAAAGCUGCUUGAAAGACUCUGAAAGGUGGGAGCAUGCAGCAGUGAAACCUGAGUUCUUUCUGUUCAUGUGAGCUAAUCUUCCCGCUGGCUGGAAGACACUUCAUUUAUACAAACAGCGAUUACUAUAAAAGUGUAUUCAUGUUGUUCAUCACAUGAAUAGGACAUGGGAGAAAAGCUUUGUAAUUAUCCUGAUAAGAGGCCCCCUAAUGCAAAUUCUCUGUGGUUAGGAAUAAAAGGAGACUUUGUCAACAUGA